rnacentral:lncRNA from 1 species
CAGAGGAGUCAUUGAAUGAUAUAGAGUGCUUGACGGCAUGUCUCGUAUAAUGUCCACAAAUUUGUGAACUAGGAUCAACUUACUAUGCGAACCAACAAUGCAUUUCUCUACCAGGGCAUGAUCGUAUACCAAUGGAGGUCGAAGAUAGGUCUCAUAAGGUCUAAAAAUAAUUGGGGUUAAAGGCUAUCAAUCUCCACACAGAUCAAUCCAAUGGAAGGAAGAUAAGGCAUACAAAUAAUUGGGUUAAAGGUGCCCCUCAUGGGGUGGUUGAGUUGAUAGAGUAGGUGAGCGCGGAAACCUUUGGUCACGAGUUCGAUUUUCCCCGCCAACACUUUCUCGAUCUAGCUUGUCGAAUCGAACUUGCCUAGUGUGGUGUACCUGGCUGUCACGAUUUACCAAUGGAGGUCGAAGAUAGGUCUCAUAAGGCCUAAAAAUAAUUAGGGUUAAAGGCUAUCAAUCUCCACAAAAAUCAAUCCAAUGGAGGUAGAAGAUAUGGCAUACAAAUAAUUGGGUUAAAGGCUAUCAAUUUCCACACAAAUCAAUUAUUAAGCCGUUUGAUUAUCUUUUCAUUGUAUUCACUUCAUUAUUAGCGCAUGUUGGCACUCAGUUUAUAUCCAUUCAUGGUUGGUCCCAUAAGUUUUAAUGUUUUGAUGUUCCUUUCAUUUUGUUCCAUGCAUACUGAUAUUCCUAUGAAUUUGGCAUGUCCAAAUAAUUGAGUGCUAUAUUUUUACAUUUUCUUGUUGGAUAUUGAAGAAUUUGCGCACUUUUGUUCGGGAAAUAUCUGUAUUUAGAUUGAAUUUUGGUCCAUCUGAUACUUAGAUCAAAGUUUUAGCUGAUGAGAUUCCAUAAUAUAGUCCUAUUGUAAAUUGCUGUAAAAAUCUUACGCAUUAAGCCCUUGUUUCGUAAAAUUUAAAACUCGUCAAAGUCAACAAUUAAUUUUAUCUACACAUUUUAUAGGACACACAACUUUUCAACAACACAUUUCAUUAACUUUUAUAAUAAUCUGCUAAAAAUUUGAUUUUAAUACCUAUCAAAUAGGGGAUAAAUAUUUAUUGUGGUAAAAUUACCAAAAUAUCUCCCCAUAGCUACAAAAAUCACAUUUCUUCAAUUUCAUUUGCCAAGUUUUGAUUAUAAAUAUGGCAUCGAAACUAUUCUUCAAGAAAACCAAUCUCAAGAAUUUUAUGCAAAUUCCUCUUGCUCUCUAGAAAUAAGAAUGACUACUUUACUUUGUCUUACUUUUCUCCUCUUUCCCUUGAGUCUGUCAAGGUAAAUAAUGUUAGCUAAAGCUGCUGAGAUUGACUUCAUCAUUUACUUGAUAUUCAAACACAAUACAAGAUUUUACACCUUGAUUAUCACACUGAAAUCCAACGUCUACAAAUAGCAAAGAAAUAAUCACACAUGGAUCACAUCUGCCCAUCAAUUUAUUUUAUAAUGAGAUGAUAACAGUAGGUCGAGUACACACAAUUUAAUCAUCGUCAAUCCAUGCAAGAUCAACGUUUGACAUCCAGUGACAUGCCUCACCUUUUCCAGGGGAGAAUUUCAAUAUCUUAGAAGCUACAUGAUUCUCAAGCCAUGUCGAGAUAUCCAUGUGACAAAUUGAGAUCACGAUUUUAACUGGGAGUCGAGUUUUGGCUUCAACCAUGUCUACAGCAUAGAGUCGAGAUGAUAGGAUUGAGUGACAGAAAUAGGCUGCAAAUGGAGGAUAAACUUCAUGACAGACAAUUAUUUUCUGCCUAUCAAAUUUCUUGAUUUUUUUUUAUCAUAAAAUCCCCUGUUUUUGUGCUUUGUGAAGCCAGUGCAAGUGACUUCUUGUUGCCUAAGGCGAAUUUUGAAAAACUAAUCAUUUCUCCAAGGGAUUUUGUGCAAUUCUUGAUUCCUCCAUUUAUAACUUCUGCAUUACAAUAAAAAAGGGUAGUUUCAAUGGAAUUUUUCAAUAGUUUAAAGGACUUGAGAAAUAUUUUUCUGAUGUUUUUUCUGUUGAUAGAAAUUUUUGAAGCUAUUUCUUGAGGGAGAAAUGCGCAAUUCGAAUAUUAAUUUCUGAAUCUAGGGCCUGAAGAAAGAAAAAUUGUCUAUCUUAGUGGGUUGAAUAGUUGAUGCAUACUUAUUGUAUACUUUGACCAGUUUGUAUACUUUGGUCAGUUCCAGGAAUUUUUCAUAUUCAAAUGAGCAAGUGAGUUUUGCUAUUGAGCAAAAACUGGAAUUUUCUGAGAAUUCAUUUUUGGACAUCAUUUUAAUGUAAUAAUUCCGAUCCUUUUUUGUUAAUGGGGAUAGCUUUUUGAAAACAGAUUUAAACAUUUGGUUUUACACAUUUUCUGACCAGAACUUGAUAUGGUCGAAAGCGAUGGAUGAUAUACGGACUUGAGUUGACACAAAAGAAGUGAAGUAAAGACAAAAGAUCAAGAGAAAGAGGAGAAAAGUAGCCUUUUUUUUAUGACGAGGGAACUAGCGGAAUUGAGUGUAAUGCUAGAAACCCAAGAAAGUGUUUCCAAUCUAUGUAAUUGUUUAAUCUGAAAAGCAUGGCGUUAAAAUGAGUAAAGGCUAAUGGAAAACUUUGAGGAAGUGGUAGACGGAGGAUUUUGAGUCUACAAAUCUCAUUGGAUCUCUAUCAAAUGCGAGGAAUUCAUAUAUUUCUUCUAUUGUCGGAAAAGUUUUGUGAACUUUUCAAGAGUAUUUGCAUUUAGGCCAUCUCCAUUGCUAAGGGCAUCCUUGAUUUCUUUGUGCAAAACGCCAAGUGAUUUGAGUACAAUUGCUGUGGUUUGGGACUUUAUGGUGUCGAGAAUGAAAAUCUGGGAAGCUGGACCGAAUCUAUCCCUUAUCCUGGUUGUUGAAUUAAUGUCUUGUCAAGGAGAUUUUCGAUUGAUGGCAACAUAUCCAAAGAGAGCUUCAACAAGAUGGCCAUUGUUGACCUCGCAAAUUGGACUUCCACGUGGUCAACCAAGAGCCACUCCACGUGUUCCUCCCUGCACACAACAACAUAUGGUCAGGAGCACACUGUCGGAACCAACGAGGGUGGUGGCAAUCAAAUACACUCCGACGGUCAAGUCAGUGGUCGAUGAUCGGAACGAUACCGAAAUCGUGCAAGAGAGUGAGGAGAAUAUGAUGCUUGAAGCUUGUGAACUAAGAUCAACUUACUAUGCGGACCAACAAUGCAUUUCUCUACCAGGGCAUGAUCGCAUACCAAUGGAGGUCGAAGAUUGGUCUCAUAAGGCCUAAAAAUAAUUGGGGUUAAAGGCUAUCUAUCUCCACACAAAUCAAUCCAAUGGAGGUAGAAGAUAAGGCAUACAAAUAAUUGGAAUAAAGGCGUCCCUCAUGGGAUGAUCGAGUUGGUGGAGUAGGUGAGCGCGGAGGCCGUUGGUCACAAGUUCGAUUCUCCCCACCAACACUUUUUUGAGUCGCACCAGACUUGUCUAGUGCAGUUUACCUGUCUGGCACGAUUUACCAAUGGAGGUUGAAGAUAGGUCUCAUAAAGCCUAAAAAUAAUUAGGGUUAAAGGCUAUCAAUCUCCACACAAAUCAAUCCAAUGGAGGUAGAAGAUAGGGCAUACAAAUAAUUGGGUUAAAGGCUAUCAAAUUUCACACAAAUCAAUUAUUAAGCCGUUUGCUUAUCCUUUUAUUGUAUUCACUUCAUUAUUAGUGCAUGUUGGCACCCAUAAAUUUUAAUGUUUUGAUGUUCCUUUCAUUUUGUCCCAUGCAUAUUGAUAUUCCUA